rnacentral:tRNA from 4 species
CUUAAAAUCCGUCGACUUUAUAAGUCGUGAGGGUUCAAGUCCCUCUAUCCCCA